GACGAACGCUGGCGGCGUGCUUAACACAUGCAAGUCUACGAGAAAGAGGUAGCAAUAUCUUGAUUAAAGUGGCGCACGGGUGAGUAACACGUAAGCAAUCUACCCUUAGAUCUGGAAUAACUUCGAGAAAUCGAGGCUAAUACCGGAUAAUGAAGCUGCACCGCAUGGUGACGUUGUUAAAAUUUCGAUGUCUAAGGAUGAGCUUGCGUCUGAUUAGCUAGUUAGUGAGGUAACGGCCCACCAAGGCUGCGAUCAGUAGCUGGUCUGAGAGGAUGAUCAGCCACACUGGAACUGAGACACGGUCCAGACUCCUACGGGAGGCAGCAGUGAGGAAUAUUGGGCAAUGCCCGCAAGGGUGACCCAGCAACGCCGCGUGGAGGAUGAAUGCCGUAGGUUGUAAACUCCUGUUAGAGGGGAAGAAUAAUUCCGAUUGCAUCGGAACUUGACUGUACCCUCAGAGAAAGCCCCGGCUAACUACGUGCCAGCCGCCGCUGUAA
rnacentral:rRNA from 1 species